UCAGAAAUGUACACAAAUCAUCCACGGUACCAAAUUAGCCCGUCUUCCUCCUCCGCCUCAAAAUUCCACCGCUGCCUCUCCAUGCCCUAGAGCCUCCCGUCCCAGAUCUCAACAUCCCAUCCCUGCUACAAUCCAAUCUCUUUGUGUUCUUUUUAUCUGGAAAAGGUUGCAUUGCAAGAGCAUCCGAGAGGUGGAGAAGGGGAGCAAGGGGUGGAGGUGGUUGGAUCGGGGCUGGUGGUGCUGCGGUGUCGUGGCAGGGGUUGGGGAGGCGCCGUUGGGCAGCCGAGGAUGCUCGAGAAGCGGCGACCGAAGAAGGAAGCUCUACUGGAUGUGGAGAAGCUCCAUGGCGCGAGGGCCGAGGUGGGGCGAGCAGAUGGACAGCCGACGAGGCGCACGAGAGGCGGCAACGCCUUGGACGGCUGCAGAGGAGAUAGGCCAUGAGGGGAGGAGGAGCUGAGGCAGAACGGCAGUGUGCCAUGGCGCGGCGGCAUGCUGCCGUGGUGGAGGUCGACCGCUGCAGCGGUUGGGCCUGCCCCUCUCCACCUUGAUGCAUUCAAGAGCCCCCAAUAAUUUGGCUGUAAAAUCUCAUCAAGAAAAAAAAACGGUACUGUACAUUUUUUCACAUCACAGCUCUUACCAGAUUAUGAAUUAUAGGAUGUGAAGGAGAACCAGCCAGCUGAGAUAAUCUGCAUGGCAUCUGGUGCCAACUUGCAGUGUUGUGUAAAUAUAGAAAUCAACCACUGUCAGCCAAAUCUGUUUGAUGUUCAUAUAAGCUUUAUAUGGAAAGGAUUUGGAGAUUGCACAUUUUUCUUUGAAUAUGUGCUAACUCUCAGAUUAUCUGCAUUUUAACAAACAAUUCUUCUAUCCAGGAUUAAGAAUCAUAUCUUAUAGAGUGUACAAUGUUUUCUUGGUAGAUUUGUAAGAUUUAAGUAUUGUUGGUUGUGCAAAAAAUAGCUUCAUGUAUGUAUUAUUGAGUUACACAUGUUUCUGUGUCUGGUUUCUUUGUUGUAUUUGGGAACAGAUCUAGAUAGAUGAUCUUUUUUAUACAAAACAUCCAUAUUAGUUUUUCUGCAUUUAUGUAACCAUGGAAACCAUAAUAUCAUUGUUUCUUUUUAAUAACAUGUGUGAUCCUUCCUUUGUAGUUACCAGAUAGCAUAGUUGCCACUUACAGAAAAUCUCCUAAAGAAUUUUCUGAUACACUUUCAGAGUGCCCUCACAGUGAUUUUCAUGCUUAUUGUAGUGGGUUCUGCAUAAUGAUAAAUCUGCUCUAAAAAAUAGUUGAUUUAUGUUGUCCCAUUAUGCGUAGCAGAAUAUUCACGCAUGCCUCUAGAGCUGCUUCAUCGAACAGUAAUCUGCGGUCUUCACUAGCAUAGAACAAGAAAUUCUCUGAUGAAGCUUACACAGUAGCAUAACAUCGUAUGCAGAUGAAAAGUUUGAUUUAAAAUGGCUUUAGCCACUGCCAAUUCCAAUAUUGUCACGUAAGUUGCUUCUGCGUUGAAAGUUUGACUUGAGUCCUAACUUCUAGAGGUAAGGAAUUGAUUUGCCUCUUGAUAGGUUUCUAUCUCUUUGGGUUUAUCUUUCCGUUGCAACAAAAUUGCAUUAUUAUUUUCUGCAAAUCAAAGUUGAAGUCCGUGGUUUCUCUAUGCUGGUAAAAAAUAAAACAGUGUUCUUGAUAUUCCCCAUCUCUUUUCGUAAUACAAUACGCAUCUUAUCUUCACUGAUUUAAGCAAUUUCAGUAAGACUCCUCUAUCUUCAAACCACACUAAGUCCAUGGUUUCCCUCGGUGUGACAAACUAUAGUUGGAUCAGUGUUUCAAAAGACAUGGCAUGGGCUUGAAGGGUACCACGGAGUCGGAGGGCUUGGCAAGGGGAGGUUCCCAGGGCUAUGAACUAGCAAUUAACUUGUAUUUUCUUUAUUAUUGUAUUUUUUGUUUGUCCUAAAUUCCACUCCCUCAGAUCCAUAUUAAUUGGUUGUACCGAGUCAGCGACAAUUAAUAUGGAUCGGAGGGAGUACUUGAUUCGUGUUUCUUGCUUUCCAUUGUUUGUAAUAUGAACCAAACUCUUCACGUGUUUAUAUUGCUUGAAUAGUUCAUAGUAAAACCACAUGUCGUUCAUAGUACUUCUGGAUGGUCACAGUUAAAAUGAUAGCUUGGUUGUGUAUACUACUUCAAGAACUUUUCUCUGACAAAGAGGUUGCUGAGCUCAGCCAUGGGUGGCACUGCCCAGUCUCUAUUUUUUCAGUAGUGAAGCUACCACUAUUUUUGGUUUUUAGUUUGAAAACUCCAAAUUCCCCAGAACGUAUUUUAUUUAUUAUUAUAUUUUUUGUUUGUGCUAAACACUACUCCCUCCAAUCCAAAAUAAGUGUCGUGGUUUUAGUUCAAAUUUGUACUAAAACUACGACACUUAUGUUGGAUCGAAGGGAGUACUUGAUUCAUGUUUCUUGCUUUCUACUGUUUGUAAUAUGAAGCAAACACCUCACGUGUUUAUGUUGCUUGAAUAUUUCAGACCGAGAUAGAAGUAAAAUGAAGUGUGGUUCAUAGUACUUCUGGAUGGUCACAGCUAAAAUGAUAGCUUGGCUGUGUAGACUACUUCAAGAAUUUCUGACCGCCCAAUGUUGUUUAUAAACAACAGAGGCUCAGUGGCCUAUACACAACUCUUUCAGGUUGUUCCCACAAAAAAAAAAAACUCUUUUAAGGUUGUUGAACCUCGCCUAAUCUAAUAGAAUCUUUUUGAAUUAUGUUUUGGCCAGAAUUACUAUAUAGGAGUAUGAUUUAUCUUUGCCUCUUUCGUACACAUUCCUUCUGCAUGAGAAUUGAGGAGGUCAAAUACUGACAUAAAUCGGAAUGGUGACAUGCUACUUCUUUACAAACAGGGUACAAACUGUAAGAAAGCUCUUAGAAAUUGUUAAACUUAUUAGUCCGUGAUAACUUAAUACCUGACAAAGAGGUUGCUGAGCUCAGUCUUAAAAAUAGAAAGAGCUAUGGGUGGUACUGCCCAGUCUCUAUUUUGUUUUCAGUAGGGAAGCUACCACUAUAUGUUGUUUUCAGUGUGAAAACUCUAAUUUUUUCCCCAACACGUAUUUUCUUUAUUAUUAUAUUUUUAUUUUGUCCUAAAUACUACUUGGUUCAUAUUUCUUGCUUUCCAUUGUUUGUAAUGUGAACCAAAAUCCUCACAUGUUUAUGUUGCUUGAAUAUUUCAGAACGGGUUAGAAGCAAAACUACAUGCCAUUCAUAGUAAUUUUAGAUGGUCACAGCUAAAAUGAUAGCUUGGCUGUGUAGACUACUUCAAGAAUCUCUCUGACUGCCACUUCUGUUUAUAAACUACAGAGGCUCACUGGCCUAUACGCAACUCUUUCAGGUUGUCGAGCCUCGCCUAAUCUAAUAGAGUAUUUUUAUAUAAUGUUUUGGCCAGAAUUACUAUAUAGGAGUAUGAUUUAUCUUUGUCUCUUUCUUACGCAUUCCUUCUGCAUGGGAAUUGAAAAGGUGAAACACUGACAUAAAUGACACGGUGACACACUUAUCAAAGUUGACAUGGUACUUGUUUACAAACAGGGUACAAACUGCAAGAAAGCUCUUAGAAAUUGGUAAACUUAUUAGUCCGUGAUAUAGUAAUACCUGACAAAGAGCUUGCUGAGCUCAGUCUUAAAAAUGGAAAGAGCCAUGGGUGGUACUGCCCAGUCUCUGUUUCGUGUUUAGUAGUGAAGCUACCACUAUUUUUUGUUUUCAGUGUCAAAACUCCAAAAUUUUCACAUUGUUAGCCAGAUCCUCGAAAUAUUUUGACGAACCUUUAGUCUCUAUUUUGUACGCUCAUGGAGAUUUUCGCUGGGUACAAUUGCAUCACAAUAUACGCUGGGUACAGUUGCAUCACAAUAUGGUUACCUGUUGAUAAUGCUACUGCAGAAAAUAUGUGAAUGCCAUCCCAGGACAGAGAAAGAGGCGUUAUGGACUAGGGAUUACAUGCUGGCUAUCACCGAGGCACCGAAUGGAAAUAUGAGACAUGGAUUGAGACGGACACAAGAGAAAGAAGAAACAAAAAUAACAUUAUAGACCAGAUGAUGAGAACAAUGGUUUCUCUCAGCGCUGCAUGCUUAGCUGAUGGAACAUACUCCUGGGACAUAGCAGGCUAAGUGAUGUUCUACAGUACACAUGGAAAGUGACUUGAUGGAAGUCAACAACAUGGUAACAGGGUGAUUGGAUUUUGUGUAAUUUUGCAUAGUUCAUUUAUAUGUUCAUUUCAAAUCAGUUAGCAAUGACAUUCAACUUGGAAAGGAAGGUGAGAAACUUAUGAUUUCCAAGUAUAUAUGAUUUCCAUGCUUUGUGUUA